GCCCCCUCGGACGUAUAUUUCUUGACGUUAUGCUGCGUUCCUGUUACCUCGGAAGUGGGAAGUCGGGGUCUGGAAUUACGUCACUGCCGAGUUACUAGCGUUCCAUUUACCAAGUCGGAAAACAAGAAGGCGACCUCCAGAAUACGUUUCCUCUCUUGUCUAGAAUAAUCGCAAUGGUGCAGCAUACACAGCGAAUUGAAGACUGGAACAGAUUGGGAGAUCAUGCUGGGUGCUAACCAAAACAGAUUACGAUGAAGUGCAAGUGGAGGCGCCUACAAGCUCUGCAGAACAGCCGGAUCGAUGCAUGGGUGCCACCCAGAUCUGUCAGGAGCACCCAAAUGGAUGCCCAAGACAGGCAGAUGAAAAUGAGUAGAGGACACACUGCAAAUGUCACAAGGCCAUGUUAUGAAAUGAUCCUGCUCUUUCUUAAAAUGUUCAUACUGUAAAUAGGUAUCAAUAAUGCACUGUCGUCAUUACUUUUUUCUGCCAAUAUAUGUUUUACUCAA